CCAAUGAUUAUAUAUUUCUUCUAAUUCACAGAGGGGCUUUAGCCGUGUUCUAUUCUACACGGAGGGUCUUGACCUGACAUUGGUCUUGAUCAUGUACAUAUAGUUCACAGAGGUGCUUUGGUCGUGUUCUAGAAUUGAUUACCAGAGAUCUUUGAGACCGACUUUCGUUCAUAGAGGGGUCAAAGGCCUGUGGCGAAAGUUCUUAACCCGAGGGGCGGAUUACAGAUUUUAGUUAGAGGGUACAUUUUUU
rnacentral:lncRNA from 1 species